AGUGUGAUGUUCUUACGUAAGAGGAGGGUGAUGGGAGAGGAAGGGAUGGGCUCGGGGCUGGGGUUUCCACUGAUCGGCAGCCCGGCUCUCUGCCGCCGCCCGCUUCUGGGCUUUCUUGGCUGGGGCUGCUCCUGACAGAAGGGAUGCAUGUUGUCGGGGGCGGGGGGCUUGGCAUGUGUGUGUGUGUGCAUGUGUGAGUAUGUGUGUGUGUGUUUAAAAUACAAAAAAAAAAAAAGAAAAGAAGCGUGGCUACACCCAGCUGCAAGAGGCUGGCCGGGCUUCGUCCGUGCCAGUUGCCUCUGAGCUGGCACCGUGGGGACAGGAGGAGGGAGAGGUGAGGAGCCGCUGCGCGGGGAAGAUGGACGCUUGCCAUGGACGAGCAGCAGGCUGGGCGCCUCCUGGGUGCCGCGGACUCACGGGGGCAAAACUCACAAACAAAAACCACAGCGAAUUGCUGGCAGCCCAUCCUGGGGAGGCGGCAGCCGCUUGGCAGCGGAGCCACGGAGGACCCGGCUGGGAGCAGUUGGACAGUGGCGGCCGGCGAGACACAGGGGUCUGGUGAGGACCAGAUGAGGUGAGCUGCAGAGAGCCCCCCGUGCCUGCUCCACAUGUGGUGAUCUGGAUAAGAGCUGCCCAUUGUCCUGGCGCCUGACCACAACUAGAAGUACACGCCACACGUGAGACAAGAAAAAGCAUUUUCUAAAGUGCUCAGACACCCUACACCACAGCUGGUCACACAGGAUUUUAUCUUCUUCAGAAUCUAAACAAUCUGCCCCAUGACAGGAAGUGGCUGAGUGGGGGACUUGAGGGCAGCUGCUGUGGGCAACCUGAGAACCCAUGGGGGCCGUGGGCAUAAAUAACAAGAUACAGGAGGCUCUGGAAGAGGGAUGACCGAAUAGUUGGAACCAGAGUCCGCAGGCAGGUCAGCCACCUGCCCUCUUGAAGACUCAUUUUCCCUGCAUCACCAGAGGCCUGGCCCAACCUGAGCCAGAACAGAUAUCACUAAUCAAUCACAGUGCCUCUCUCACAGCCACCUCCCUCCCUGGGAUUCCAGGAGUUGCUCUUUGCUACCAGAAUUAGAUGAGCUCCAAAUGCCCCAUCUUAAGGCUAGUCUACACCUACAUGCAGAUCACUGAGGAGCCUGCGUGUCUGGCAGCAUCGAAGGUCUGUGCCACAGACCCAUGGGCAUCCUGCUCCCGCCAACCAUUCUCCCAGCUGCCAGACCUGCUAGCAGCUAGGGAAUAGUGCAUUCUGGGGUCUGCAACCCGGCGGGCUAGCCCCCAACACCAGAUGUGACAUCUGCCCAGCAUGCUGCCCCCUCCUGGCUCAGCAGCACACUGUGACCGAGAACAUGGGCUUGGGGUCAGAGACCUGGAUUCUGGAAGGCCUGGGCUCUGCCACUGACCUUCCCAUGGCCUGGAUGGGAUGCCUAUUACGGGGUUAUGUAUGUGCCUGGCACAUAGCACAUGCUCAGUGAAGUCAACGCCAGUGGGCCUUAAAACACUUGCUCAACCAACGAAGCUGACAAUGACAGGAGCUGCAGAACCAUCAGCGGGCCAUGACGUGGGACACGGGACAUGCAUCUCCCAGCACGUGAGGCCUGAGGACAUGGGGAUGGGCUGGGGGCAGGGAGGAAGGUGAAGGGAACACGGGGGUGAGCUGCUCCACAAAAGCACACGGCACCAACAUGCCACUGUCUGGCCCAGCACUUGGGAGCUGCGGGCCGGAGGGAACAGCGGCAGAACCAGGCUGUUGCCUGUAAUAAGCGGAGGAGGGCUGGCACGUGAGAGGUGGCCCCGGACCCGUGGCCACACAGCAGCAGGCUCCAAGGCACCCAGAGCCAGUAGGAGUGAGUCAGAGCUGGACACGCCCUCAAUGCCUCCAACCUGGUCAGGCCCCCGGCUGGCCCCUUAGCAUAGAUCCCUUGGCUGGGGUGGGGUGGGGGCCCAUGAAGAUGGAGGGGUGCAGCCACUAUGGAGCCCCUACACACUCAGUCAAGGUGCCAAGGUGUGCGGCUGUGGUGUAGGAAAAACUGAGGCACAGCGGGCUGACCGGUCCAAAGCACACAGCCAGUGCAGAGUGGCUCGCCCCACCUCCCUGGUCUCUCAGGGACUCUGGUGGAGGGCUGGUGCUCUGGAGAACUGUCAGGGGCACAGCCCAGGAGCCUGGCGGACACAGAGGCAGACUAGCUGCCCUCCCACCCCAGGCUGGGAAAACAUCACUGCAGGGAGCCCGAAAGGGCCCACAUCACUGCCAGCAUCUCCUGCCUCUGGCAAAGGAAAGUGAGGAGGCCCAGGGUCAGCAGGCGGUGCGGAGGGAGGGCGCCCAUAGGGCUUCUCAGGGUGGUCCCGGCCACCCACAUGGAGUUCCCAAAACACCUGCUCAGGAUGCAGAUUCCUGGGCCCAACCAGGCCCGGUGAGUCCAGACCCACCAUCAGGGUCCCACUGCCUGAUUGUUGGGUCUGAGAGCCCCGUUCCCUCAAAUCUCAUGUGGGGCGACAGCCUCCAGCUCCAGUACCUCUUUCUUCAGGGAACAUGUGAGAUGAAACAGCAAUGGACGCAAAACCUGCACCGUGGCCAGAGGUGAGGGGCUGUCGCUGGAGGAGGGGAGCCAGUGGAGCAAGACCCCUGAGCAUGUGGACACAGGCCCCCAAGGAACUGUGACUGGUUGGGUGGGUGAGAGCAGCUUGCUCGGCCCCCUGCCGGCCUCGCUCAUCCAAGUGAGCCAGGAUGGCUCCUUUGUUUGGCUCCACGGGCGAUGUGGGCUGGGUCUGGAGGUAAUCUGUCUGCCUCCUGCAGCUGGCUGUCAGCUCACAUCUGCGAACCAGCUUCAUUUUCACUGUCAUUAAAAAUCCCAGGUCUGACAGGUAGAGAAAAUCCAAUGUAAAAACAACCUCCCAGGGACCGACUGAGGCUCCAGGGGGAGCCUGGCUUCCAGCCCAGGGCCAAGCCCCCGUGGGAGACAAGGUGGGAGCCUGCCCCGCUCCCCACUGUUCUGGGUGGAAUGGGUAAGCUAAACAGGUGUCAGCCUGCCAUCAGCACGGUAGGGCCAAAGAAAAGACACAGAGAGAAGACAGAGGGAAGGGAUGGAAGGGGAGGAGAGGGAACACAGGCAAUGACCUGCCCAGGCCACACCUACACAUCACAAAGGACACUGGACACUGCCCUAGUGGUCUAAGGCUGCCCCAUUGACAGGCGAGGAAGGGAAAGGUCAGAGGUUGUGCACCCCACCGCAGUCACAUGGCUAAAACGCGCCUCUCCGUGAGGCUUUCGGACUUCCUGAUCUUUGGGGUGGAGGCGGUGCACCUGUUGGAGGUCCAUCAGGGCCCUGGGGAAGGAUCUGAAGUAUCUCCCUGGGUACUAGAGCAGGCUGGUGCCCCCUCCAGGACACAGGGCUGUGGAGCACGGGUGCAGGUCACAGGACAGAUGCCAGCUUUGUUUCGUGAGAUUUCUCCAUCACUCAGGCAAGCCACUUGUCCUUUCUGAACUUCCAGGGCUGCAACUGUAGAUGGUGGUAGGUGGGCAGAUGUGCCCAGAGUGAGCAUAUGAAGGGUGUGGUGGGACUGGCCCUGCAGGUCACCCUGUGCUUGCUUCAUUCCACCAGGCCCAGGGCUGCAGUGAUGCACUUACCGCCCAGGGGAGGCUACCACCAUCUUUCUCUCAGGGGGUCAGAGUACACACUGGAUGCUGGCCUCCAGGUCACAGGUCUGGAAAGCAUGCCCUCAGCACCCACCCCCUGAGGCCCUCCCUCUGUGAUGGGACAGGAGCAUCAGGCUCAGGCAUUCUCUGCUGCUGCACUUGGGCUGGCUGGGGCUGCUGGGAGCUUGGUGAAGCCAGCCCCAUGGAGCGCCCCCGGGGACAGGGUGAGUCCCUGCUGUCUGGGGCCUUAGCUGGAGCCUGAGGGGGGCUCAGAGCCUGGAUCUCUUCCUAGGGCGCUGGGGCUCAUGCAGCUGUCAACAUCUGGAAAAAAAGUUCAUAGAGGGCUUGGGAGGAUGUGACCCUCUCAACCUGGACAGCUCCCUCCCACCUGGGGCCAGGGAGACCUCCAUAAGGCCAGGACCACCCACCCCCAAAGCUAAGGCAGCACCGGAGCUGAGGAGCCGGCGUGCAUAGGGUUAACCACUGAUUAUAGCUUUGUCUCUGCAUCGGGUGCAUAAUGUGCUCAUUUGCAUACUGCAGUGUGCGCUCAAUUAAAAUGAACUUUUAAUUUCUUCUAAGUAAA